rnacentral:misc_RNA from 1 species
AAUUUUUGGCAAUGGAUCACUUGGCUCUCGCAUCGAUGAAGAACGCAGCGAAAUGCGAUAAGUAAUGUGAAUUGCAGAAUUCAGUGAAUCAUCGAAUCUUUGAACGCACCUUGCACCCUUUGGCAUUCCGAAGGGUAUGCUCGUUUGAGUGUCAUUGUACUCUCAUGCUCCCGAUGCUUUUGGAUCGGGAGUGGUGGACUUGGGUGUUGCUGCUUUACUGUGGCUCACCUCAAAUGGAGUAGUGCAACUCUUGGUUGGACAUAGUACGGCGUGAUAAGUGUCUUCGCCGGCGCCUCAUUAGAGGGUGGCCGAUCGGGAGCUCUGUGCUUCAAACCGUCUUCGGACAACAUCUGACAACUUGACCUCAAAUCGAGUAGGACUACCCGCUGAACUUAAGCAUAUCAAUAAGCGGAGGCU